AUUUUUAAUUAUAAAAAUUUAGUAAUAAUGAUAAAAUUAGUAUUAAAAAUUUUAUUAUUAUAUUUAGAUAUAGGUUAAAUAAAGUAAUUCGGCAAAAAAUUUUUUACCUGUUUAUUAAAAACAUGUCUUUUUGUUUAUAUUUAAAGUCUCGCCUGCCCACUGAUUAAAUUAAAUGGCCGCGGUAUUUUGACCGUGCUAAGGUAGCAUAAUCAUUAGUUUUUUAAUUGAAAGCUAGAAUGAAGGGUUGGAUAAAAAAAUUUCUGUCUCUAUUUAAAUUUUUAAAAACUUUAUUUUUAAGUUAAAAAGCUUAAAUUUUAUUAAAAGACGAGAAGACCCUAUAGAGUUUUAUAAAUUUAUAAAUAUAUUAUUUUAGUAUUAAAUUUAUAUAUUAAAUAUUUAUUUAAUUGGGGUGAUUAAAAAAUUGAGUAAACUUUUUUUAUUUAUUUAUAUUAAUUUAUAAUUAAUUGAUCCAAUUAUUUUGAUUAUAAGAUUAAAUUACCUUAGGGAUAACAGCGUAAUUUUAUUGGAGAGUUCAAAUUGAUAAUAAAGAUUGCGACCUCGAUGUUGGAUUAAAAUUUAUAAUUGGUGUAGGAGCUAGUUUAUUAAGUCUGUUCGACUUUUAAAAUUUUACAUGAUCUGAGUUUAAACCGGUGUGAGCCAGGUUGGUUUCUAUCUUUAAUGGGUUAAUAUAUUUUAGUACGAAAGGACCAAGUAU
rnacentral:rRNA from 1 species